GUCGUCACCGCGUCGACGGCCACCUCUACUUCGGCGGCCACCUCCGGUUGCAACUUUCUCAAGAUCAAAGUACGCAACGCGAUCAAGAAAUCUCACCAAGGCAGCAAAUACGACAUCGAGUCGUCCAAGUUCCAGGCCGCAGGUCACACCUGGAGCUUCUUCUUCCACCUCAACUCGAGCAAAUAUUCGGGCAACGACUACUCCACCGUGUGCCUCAAGCUCCACGCCGCCGACCCCGGCACCGCCGCCGCCGCCGGCGGCGGCAUCCGAACCAACGUCCGGUUCCGCAUGCCGUGCGUGCCUCCGACGAACGAGGUGAGGAGCUACGCGAUGUCGUUCCACGGCACCGGGAAGGCGGAGUACCGCUGCUUCACGUUCAUCCGCCACGACGUCCUGGCGAGCCAGUGGUCCAGCACCGAUGAUGAGUUCGCCAUCCACUGCGACGUCGCCGUCGUCGAGGAGGCCGCGGCGGGCGGCGACGAUGUCCACGGAGCUCGGGCCGGAUGA
rnacentral:lncRNA from 1 species